GGUCGAACUAGAAUCACAGCUACACAGUUUGAUCAGUGCUCGGUUAAUUAAAAUAUAUACAACUUGCUGUUUGCAGGCGUCAACAUGGUAACGAGAAGCUACGUACUAAUACUGGUAUUUGUUACCGUUCUGGUAUCAACCAAUGCUCGAAGAUAUCCUUGGGAAGAUGACUGCAAAGACACCUCUCCCCAUUGCCGAUAUUGGUUUCUGAAUAAUCCAAAAUUUGACUGUGGUAUUUAUGGCCCAAGCAUUUGCAAAAAGUUCUGUGGAUACUGCAGUAGUAUAGUGUGUCGGGACCGGCCUGGUAAGGAAUACUAUUGCAGAAUAUACAAGCGCAAAGGAAAAUGCCGAACAGAUUAUGCCAACAGAAAUUGCCGGAGGACUUGCAAAAAAUGCUGACUUCAACAUAACGAGUACUCGAGUGACGACUAGGGAACAACCAAGCAAAAGGGAAAAUGCACUUCGAGAAACAUCAAAUCCUUUCCCAAGCGGCCUCCCCUCCCCUUCCCUCCCCUCCCCUCCCCCAUGAUUUUAUUUCAUCAUUGUGUAUAGGACUUAUCCAUAUCUAAGUGUACUAUCUUCUUUGGGCAAAAACAUCGUCUUCGAAUUCUUUACUAUAGGACUAUGGGACCUGAUGUAGGAUAUUAUUUAACAUGUGCGUGCAUAUCGUAUAUAUCAGCUAAAUAAAUAUCAGCUAAUAUAAUACAACUA
rnacentral:lncRNA from 1 species